AAUAAUAUAACCAAUAAAAGUGUUUUAGCAUUCCACUUUUAACACUGCACUUAGGGGUGGAGAUCGGACGGAUCGGAUCGGAAAUAGGCUGUUCGGAAAAUUUUCGAUUUUUUUCGGAACCACAAUUUGAUUUCCGAUUCCGAUUCCGAAAUUUUCGGAAUGCAAAAAUGAGUUCCAAUUCCAAAAUUUUCGGAAUUUUCGGAAAAUCGGAAAUUUUCGAAUCCGAAUAAAAAAUACAUAAUCAGAAGAAAUGAUUGAAAAAAAAAACAACAAAAAAAUAGCCAAAUCCCAAGAACCAUCAAUGGCUAAAAUCUCCACAAAUUACAACACAUGAAGAACCAUCCCGAGCGGAAGAGAGUUACAAAGCAACUCAUCCUAUGUCAAAUAUUUUACAAAAAGAGCUACAAAAAGAUUAAAUAUUUUACAAAAAGAUUGACGAAGAAGUAUGGAGAAGAAGAAGAGCGGCGCAUGGAGAAGUAGAAGAGUUAGGUUUUUUGCAUUGAAAUCAAAUGGUUUGCUGGUAUGUUGAUGAUUUCUCACGCCAAGAAAUUCAGAUCUGAAGAAGAAGAAUGUGGCAAAUAGUGAAAGAAAUGAGGUGUUCGGCGGGUUUGACCGAAU
rnacentral:lncRNA from 1 species